UCCCUAAUAGGUUUGAACACCAGUCUCCAAGGAGUGUUCUGCUUCAGUGUGGUGUAGUUUUGUUUCUCAGCCUAAAUUCUCUCAUUCCAAGUAAGAUCCUUUUUUUCUUGAUAAUGAUCAUUUGUCAAACUGUUUUAGACUAAUUUACUUGUUUUUUUUAAGAAACAGCAAAGUUGUGUGAAUUCCAUAAUGGAUGUUGUUCAUCUAUUAUCUCAGAGAUUUGAGUUUAAAGUCGAACUUGUAGUAAGCCUAGUGCCUUCAGAGGCCUGAAGUUACCUGUUGCAUAUUUCUUAUUCUGGAAUAAUGAAGUUCUCUAUAAUUUUUUAAGAAAGAUGGUUUCAUUUUUGUACAGGGAGAAAGUGCUUGUGACCUGCUGCUGAAAGGAAGUGGUGGAAAUGUUCUGGGGCCUCAGAGGAACUUGGAAUUCUCAAUCCUGUCUUAGAGGAUCAAAAAUCUAAAGAACAAUGGGAAGUUAAAUACUUCUUAUUUUUAUAAUGGUACAUAUUAUCCAAGCUUGCGUCUAGGAACACCUGCCUGUUUUCCUGGGGUCCACUGAGAGAAGCAAGCAUAGACAUUCACUGAUGCAAGCAGAGACAGAAUGCAGAAGGAAAGAGAGAAAGUGAGAACUGUAAAGGACUGCUGCCUCAAAGCUGCUGUUGCCAUAGAGCUGCGAAGGAGGAAAAAAAACUGCAGCAUGGAUUUCUUAUGCUGUUGAAGUAUUCCUAACCCAGAAGAAACGCUGACUGCUAAGCUACACAACCUUUGCCUGUCAAUCACAACCGCCUCGUUUGGAGACCGUAGAAUCCCUGC